rnacentral:tRNA from 1 species
CGGGGCAUAGUGCAACGGCAGCACGCUUGCUUUGGGAGCAUGUAAUCCCAGUUCGAAUCUGGGUGCCCCGA